rnacentral:tRNA from 1 species
GCCCUUUUAGCUCAAUUGGUAGAGCAACGGACUCUUAAUCCGUAGGUUCUGGGUUCGAGCCCCAGAGAGGGCA